rnacentral:rRNA from 1 species
GAAUAUUGGACAAUGGAGGCAACUCUGAUCCAGCCAUGCCGCGUGAAGGAAUAAGGCCCUAUGGGUUGUAAACUUCUUUUAGACGGGACAAAACCCCUUUACGUGUAAAGGGUUGAUGGUACUGUCAGAAUAAGCAUCGGCUAACUUCGUGCCAGCAGCCGCGGUAAUACGAAGGAUGCAAGCGUUAUCCGGAAUUAUUGGGUUUAAAGGGUGCGUAGGCGGACUAAUAAGUCAGUGGUGAAAGCCUGCAGCUUAACUGCAGAAUUGCCAUUGAUACUGUUAGUCUUGAGUACAGUUGAGGUAGGCGGAAUGUGUCAUGUAGCGGUGAAAUGCUUAGAUAUGACACAGAACACCUAUUCCGAAGGCAGCUUGCUAAGCUGUAACUGACGCUGAGGCACGAAAGCGUGGGGAGCAAACA